UGGGAUGCUGGGAGACUUUGAUUUAACUUGAACCUGAAGGGGUCUGGGACAGAAGUUUCAUAACUGGUUUGACCCAAAUCAGUUAAGUCUUUUACUACAUUCAGUUAGGUUUAUCUUAAACCAGUUUCAGCCAUUUUGAAACUGGUUUGUGUGCACUGAACUUCUGUUCUGUUACAGGUUUAAUCAGUUUCUGAUUACUUAAACCGGUUUAUGUGGAACUUCUGUCCCUAGCCAAGGAAAGCAGAUGGUGCAGUUCUCACAUGGAAGCAAUCAAAUUUAAUUCUGUCUUAGCAAGCAUGUUGAAAAUAAUUCAUUUCCACAACUGUAAGACUUACUAAAAGUCUACCAAAAUGGGAGUUCCUGAAGACCAUUUAAAGCUAUAACCUACAGUUAUCCAAUUAUACGUUUCACUGAAGACUUGGAAGAAGUUCAAGUACACUGGUUGCCAUAAAAGCUUUGUGCGUAUAUGAAGUAGUUUGCUACUUUCAACUGAAUCUACAUUACUAUAGGUGAUACUUCCAUCUAUUAAAAAGGAAAAAGAAUAAAUUGUAAUGCUCAUACA
rnacentral:lncRNA from 1 species